GAUGAACGCUGGCGGCGUGCCUAAUACAUGCAAGUCGAGCGAACAGACGAGGCGCUUGCUCCUCUGACGUUAGCGGCGGACGGGUGAGUAACACGUGGAUAACCUACCUAUAAGACUGGGAUAACUUCGGGAAACCGGAGCUAAUACCGGAUAAUAUAUUGAACCGCAUGGUUCAAUAGUGAAAGACGGUUUUGCUGUCACUUAUAGAUGUAUCCGCGCCGCAUUAGCUAGUUGGUAAGGUAACGGCUUACCAAGGCAACGAUGCGUAGCCGACCUGAGAGGGUGAUCGGCCACACUGGAACUGAGACACGGUCCAGACUCCUACGGGAGGCAGAAGUAGGGAAUCUUCCGCAAUGGGCGAAAGCCUGACGGAGCAACGCCGCGUGAGUGAUGAAGGUCUUCGGAUCGUAAAACUCUGUUAUUAGGGAAGAACAAAUGUGUAAGUAACUAUGCACGUCUUGACGGUACCUAAUCAGAAAGCCACGGCUAACUACGU
rnacentral:rRNA from 1 species